rnacentral:rRNA from 1 species
CCUACGGGUGGCAGCAGUGGGGAAUAUUGGACAAUGGGGGAAACCCUGAUCCAGCGACGCCGCGUGAGUGAAGAAGUAUUUCGGUACGUAAAGUUCUAUCAGCAGGAAAGAAAAUUACGGUACCUGACUAAGAAGCCCCGGCUAACUACGUGCCAGCAGCCGCGGUAAUACGUAGGGGGCAAGCGUUAGCCGGAUUUACUGGGUGUAACGGGAGCGUAGACGGCAGCGCAUGUCUGGAGUGAAAUGCCGGUGCCCAACCCCGGAACUGCUCUGGAAACUGAGAAGCUGGAUUGCAGGAGAGGUAAGCGGAAUGCCAGGUGUAGCGGUGAAAUGCGUAGAUAUCAGGAGGAACACCGGCGGCGAAGGCGACUUACUGGACUGUAACUGACGUUGAGGCUCGAAGGCGUGGGGAGCAAACAGGAUUAGAUACCCUAGUAGUC